UCCUACGGGAGGCAGCAGUGGGGAAUAUUGGACAAUGGACCAAAAGUCUGAUCCAGCAAUUCUGUGUGCACGAUGAAGGUCUUCGGAUCGUAAAGUGCUUUCAGGUGGGAAGAAAAAAAUGACGGUACCACCAGAAGAAGCGACGGCUAAAUACGUGCCAGCAGCCGCGGUAAUACGUAUGUCGCAAGCGUUAUCCGGAAUUAUUGGGCGUAAAGCGCGUCUAGGCGGCCUUUUAAGUCUGAUGUGAAAAUGCGGGGCUCAACUCCGUAUUGCGUUGGAAACUGGAAGGCUAGAGUAUCAGAGAGGUGGGCGGAACUACAAGUGUAGAGGUGAAAUUCGUAGAUAUUUGUAGGAAUGCCGAUUGGGAAGCCAGCUCACUGGAUGAAUACUGACGCUGAAGCGCGAAAGCGUGGGGAGCAAACGGGAUUAGAUACCCCGGUAGUCCACGCCGUAAACGAUGAUCACUAAGUGUGGGGGGUCGAACCUCCGUGCUCAAGCUAACGCGAUAAGUGAUCCGCCUGGGGAGUACGCACGCAAGUGUGAAACUCAAAGG
rnacentral:rRNA from 1 species